CCUACGGGUGGCAGCAGUGGGGAAUAUUGGACAAUGGGGGGAACCCUGAUCCAGCCAUGCCGCGUGUGUGAAGAAGGCCCUCGGGUUGUAAAGCACUUUCAGUGAGGAAGAACGCCUGGUGGUUAAUACCCAUCAGGAAAGACAUCACUCACAGAAGAAGCACCGGCUAACUCCGUGCCAGCAGCCGCGGUAAUACGGAGGGUGCGAGCGUUAAUCGGAAUUACUGGGCGUAAAGCGCGCGUAGGUGGCUUGAUAAGCCGGUUGUGAAAGCCCCGGGCUCAACCUGGGAACGGCAUCCGGAACUGUCAAGCUAGAGUGCAGGAGAGGAAGGUAGAAUUCCCGGUGUAGUGGUGAAAUGCGUAGAGAUCGGGAGGAAUACCAGUGGCGAAGGCGGCCUUCUGGACUGACACUGACACUGAGGUGCGAAAGCGUGGGUAGCAAACAGGAUUAGAUACCCGUGUAGUC
rnacentral:rRNA from 1 species